rnacentral:lncRNA from 1 species
CACAAAUGUUCCUACAAAAUUUUUUUGUCUACAAAAGGUUUUCCCUACAAAUAAGAACUUUUCCCUACAAAUAAAUUUUGUAGGGAAAAGGUAAAUUCUUGUAAUAACGCCAUUUGGUUUUUUGUCCGCCGUAUUAUUCAAUAUUUUAUUGGGACUCCUCAUCAUGGUCUAUUUUUCCCUAGGGGGAUAUCUCUUGAGCUCACGGUUUAUAGUGAUGCUGAUUGUUCUGAUUGCCCUGAUUCUCAUAGAUCCACUACUGGGUGAUGUAUCUUUCUAGGUAAUGUUCUCAUUUCUUGGAAAUGUAAGAAGUAGGAUUGUGUUUCUAAGUCCUCUACUAAAACUGAAUAUUGUGCUAUGUCAGCCGCCUGUUCCAAGAUUGUAUGGUUACGAGGUUUUCCUACAGACCUUGGUGUUUCUCAAUCAUAGACUACACCACUCCAUAGUGACAACACUAGUGCUAUUUAGAUUGAGGCAAAUCCUGUGUACCAUGAACGCUUAAAACAUAUUGAAGUGGUCUAUCAUUAUAUACGCGAUGCCUAUGAUUCCAAUGUCAUUAUGCUUCCCCCAUGUUUCUAUGACUCAACAGGCAGCAAAUAUCUUCACCAAAUCCUUAACUCGUAAUCGUCAUCAUUUUUUUGUCAGCAAAUUACUAUUGAUGGACUCACCAGCAUCAAUUUGAGGAGGGGUAUUAGAGGAUAUUUUAAUUAGUAAUUUCUAUGUAUAACCAGCAUGGAAUCAGGGAUUUGAUUUGAUUGUAUAGCAUAAACUCUUUCCUUGUAUAUCUCUGUAAUAUUCUAUAAAUUGAAGGCAAAUAAUACUAGAAGAUC